CCUUUAUAUCUUCAGGGUGGCUAAAAACGCUCUUUCUUGCUCCUCAACUCCUGAAAACUGAUAGGUGUGCUACGUCUGGGAAGAUCUGAAGAUGUGACAGGAAUGGCAAGGCAAAGAUGGAAUGGGAACCAGAAGAUCCAGACAAAGCAGGUCACCAAGUUGCAGCUUCCUUUGUCUGGAUCUUGUGGCGCCUUGAGGAAUCUGACUCAGAGGCUCCUGUCUGCUCAGCAACUGUUCAGCCACCCUUUGUUCCUUUUUGAAAAAAAAAAGUCAAGCAAAGAACCAACAGAUCCCAUGUGUAAUAAAACAUCCUGCUGUAUUAUUCAAGAA